rnacentral:lncRNA from 1 species
UGACCAUCAGGGUUCCUGAAUAGUCUGUGUAAAUUAGGUAACCCCUUUCUAUUCUCAAAGUCUGUUUUUCUAUCUGUAAAGUGAAUAGAAGGGUGUUUUGAGCUCACUCGUUUCUAAAGCCGAUAGGCAGACGGGUGAUGGAUGAAGGCAAAACUUUUGCAAUUUGCAUUGUCUCCCUGUCUCCAGGUCUCUUUACUAUAGCCAUGGACAACUCCAGCAUACAGGAACUCCAGCAACCCUUACUGCCAAGCGUAACCUGGGACCUCCUUGCUUCCAAGUCUGAGAAACCAGAGCUGGGAACCCUCUUCCCAGAAACUGCCUUUGCAGAUUCCCCGAGAGGCUGGCAGCUUCUUCUCCCACCUCUUCCUUCAGUGAGCGCUGGCCUGGGGGAGCCUGAGACCCCUGACCUUGAGGUAGGAGCAUCAGGUUGACAGCAGAGCUACCUGCCUAGGUCUGGAGUCUCUCUUGACUGUUGAGGGCUGGCUGGGAGUCUCACGAGUCUCUGUGGAGCCACGACAGACCUGGAGCUCUCUCUGUAGACCAGGCCAGUCUUGAACUCAGAGAGAUCCACCUGGUCCUGUCUCCCAAAUGCAGUCUUUUGCUUUUCUUUUUCUUCAGACUUUGACCACUUUCUUUAAUCUUUGUUUGCUGUCUCCCUUCCAAUCUAACUACUUCUCGUUCCAGAACCCGUAAACAUCUGGCUUCUGUUGACCCAGUCUUUGAAGUUAAAGUCUUUAAUUUAAAAAAAAAAAACAAACAAC